rnacentral:rRNA from 1 species
AUUGAACGCUGGCGGCGUGCUUAACACAUGCAAGUCGAUCGGUAACAGGUGUAGCAAUACAUGCUGACGAGAGGCGGACGGGUGAGUAAUGCUUGGGAAUCUGCCUAUUAGUGGGGGACAACCCGGGGAAACUCGGGCUAAUACCGCAUACGCUCUACGGAGGAAAGCCGGGGACCGCAAGGCCUGGCGCUAAUAGAUGAGCCCAAGUCGGAUUAGCUAGUUGGUAGGGAACGGCCUACCAAGGCGACAAUCCGUAGCUGGUCUGAGAGGACGACCAGCCACACCGGAACUGAGACACGGUCCGGACUCCUACGGGAGGCAGCAGUGGGGAAUAUUGGACAAUGGGCGCAAGCCUGAUCCAGCGAUGCCGCGUGUGUGAAGAAGGCCUGCGGGUUGUAAAGCACUUUCAGUAGGGAAGAAAGACCGAGUGCUAAUAUCACUCGGUC